UCAAACAAAUUUUUGUUUUAAAUAGUUGUCGAAAUCUAAUUCAAAUAUUGGAGAAAUAAGAUUUAGUGAACUGAUAGUAAAUGUAUUUAGGUGCGUUUUGGUCAUUUUAAGGGAUUGCAAUUGUAUUUUGGCUUGUCAAAUA
rnacentral:sRNA from 1 species